CUAGGUUUGGGAUAGAUCGACUUAGUUAGGUUUAGGAAAAGAUUGACUUAGCUAGGUUUAGGAUAGAUUGACUUAGCUAGGUUUAAGAAAAGAUCGACUUAGUAAGGUUUAGGUAAAGAUCGACUGGAUUAGGUUUUGGUUAAGAUCGAUUUGCUUAGGUUUAGGUAAAGAUCGACUGGAUUAGGUUUUUGGUUAAGAUCGACAUGCUUAGGUUUAGGUAAAGAUCGACUGGGUUAGAUUUUGGUUAAGAUCAAUUUGCUUAGGUUUAGGUAAAGAACGACUUAGUUAGGUUUAUGUAAAGAUCAAUUUGGUUAGGUUUAGGAAAAGAUCGACUUGGUUAGUUUAUUUGGGUUAGGGUUAGGGGUUAACCCUGGUAACCCAGAUUGCCGUUUGGGAUAAAAUAACUCUGGAAGUAAUUUAAGUAUUGAAGUUACGUGUAAAAAAAAUCAACGUUGACUUCUGGUUUCACACGGGGUAUGAACACCGGUCUCUUGGGAGAAAGUCUGAUGUUUUUUGACCCACCCCUCCACCCCGACCUCCUCCCUAUGCGCGACAGUCGCUCUUUAUUCUUCCUAGUUCACGAUUACGUGGAUUAUAUACGAAUUGAUUUUGUGGGAUAUAUACGAGUUACAGCGCAUUAGUUUUUGUAGGUAUAGCUAUGAACGUUGUAUGGGAACAGCCUGAUUUAGGUCACUGAAACAAGUGUUCCAGGAUGUUUCAAAUGGGGAAUUGAUCAGUCAAAACAGCACAGAUACAGUAUGUAGCUAUUCAUAGAGAUUGCAUUACUGUAUUGUUUUCAUCUCUCCACUUAUCUAGCACUUUAUCAUCCCAACACUGCAUGGCGUCAAUACUGAAUGGUGCCACACAGUAUACAGAGUGUGUCAGAGAGUGCACCAACUUUGUAUUCACUGUUUCUAUGGGUAUACAUCUGAGAGAGAGCAAGAACAAGAAGGAUGAAUAUAAAUGCAUUGAUGUGUCUCAGAGUACAAACUGUACAGGUGUUUGAAAUAAUGAUAGGACCAUGACAGCCAGGAGACAUGUGUGUAUAGGCUUGUGUGUGUGUGUGUUGUAUUUGUGCAGAUGCAUACAGUAUGUGCACAUAUAAGGAAGAUAAAGAGGAGGAGAGGCUGUGAGUGGCAGCUGAAUGGAUGGAGCACAAAUCCUCUGAAUAAUACAUGAGACUUCUGCCAAUUCCAUCUAUUUAUCUUUAAAUUGUGCGCCACGUACAAAUUCAUUUUCAGCCGAUUGGAGAAGAGAGAUGUGUACUUUAGACUGAAGGGAACAUUUUCUCAGUGUUUAUUUUCUGCAGCUGAAAUCUUUGACAAUUGUUCUGGCAAUAAAAGACAACUUUAUAUUAAAUUCAUCUGAAAGAUUUUCACCAAGAGGUAGUGGGCAAACAAAAAAAAAAGUGUCCAUCUGUUUGUUUAAUGUCUUUUUUGGCUCUGCCUUAAAGCAUAUUCACAGCUCAGCGGUCUCCUCUCCAAGGUACCCUGAACCAACAACCUCCAGAAAACCCUAACUAGUCUACGAGCGACACCAACGGAGGACGGGACCUAAAAGAGAAAGAGAGGGUGGUGUGCAGAGGGUGGCAGUGAGGUGAGUUAUGGGGCUACACAGAGAAAUGUGGAAGGUGAAAAGGUGACGAGUGAAGGCGGACAGACAAGACAAAUAUUUGAUCAUCUCUUUAAG